UACGUAGGGUGCAAGCGUUGUCCGGAAUUAUUGGGCGUAAAGAGCUCGUAGGCGGUCUGUCGCGUCGGCUGUGAAAACUCGGGGCUCAACUCCGAGCUUGCAGUCGAUACGGGCAGGCUAGAGUUCGGCAGGGGAGACUGGAAUUCCUGGUGUAGCGGUGAAAUGCGCAGAUAUCAGGAGGAACACCGAUGGCGAAGGCAGCUCACUGGGACGGUACUGACGCUGAGGCGCGAAAGCGUGGGGAGCAAACAGG
rnacentral:rRNA from 1 species